rnacentral:rRNA from 1 species
AGCGAACGCUGGCGGCAGGCCUAACACAUGCAAGUCGAACGAAGUCUUCGGACUUAGUGGCGGACGGGUGAGUAACACGUGGGAACGUGCCUUUAGGUUCGGAAUAACUCAGGGAAACUUGUGCUAAUACCGAAUGUGCCCUUCGGGGGAAAGAUUUAUCGCCUUUAGAGCGGCCCGCGUCUGAUUAGCUAGUUGGGGAGGUAAAGGCUCACCAAGGCUACGAUCAGUAGCUGGUCUGAGAGGAUGACCAGCCACAUUGGGACUGAGACACGGCCCAAACUCAUACGGGAGGCAGCAGUGGGGAAUCUUGCGCAAUGGGCGAAAGCCUGACGCAGCCAUGCCGCGUGGAUGAUGAAGGUCUUAGGAUUGUAAAAUCCUUUCACCGGUGAAGAUAAUGACUGUAGCCGGAGAAGAAGCCCCGGCUAACUUCGUGCCAGCCGCCGCCGUAAUAC